rnacentral:rRNA from 1 species
CGGGACUCUCACGAGGCCUCGUAAUCGGAAUGAGUACACUUUAAAUAUUUUAACGAGGAACAAUUGGAGGGCAAGUCUGGUGCCAGCAGCCGCGGUAAUUCCAGCUCCAAUAGCGUAUACUAAAAUUGUUGCGGUUAAAAAGCUCGUAGUUGCAUUUGUGCGUCGCGCUGUCGCUGCACCACAUCUGUGGUGAUAGUGACACGUCCGCGGAGCAUAUCGUCGGUGAAUGCAGCCGGUCAAACGGCGGUUCAAUAUCAAAAUCCUAUCGCGGUGCUCUUCAGUGAGUGUCGAGAUGGGCCGACAAUUUUACUUUGAACAAAUUAGAGUGCUUAAAGCGGGCUCAAAACGCUGCUUGAAUAUUUCGUGCAUGGAAUAAUAGAAUAUGAUCUCGGUUCUAUUUUGUUGGUUUUCAGAACUCCGAGGUAAUGAUUAAUAGGGAUAACUGGGGGCAUUCGUAUUGCGACGUUAGAGGUGAAAUUCUUGGAUCGUCGCAAGACGAACAUCAGCGAAAGCAUUUGCCAAAGGUGUUUUCAUCAAUCAAGAACGAAAGUUAGAGGUUCGAAGGCGAUUAGAUACCGCCCUAGUUCUAACCGUAAAUAUGUCAUCUAGCGAUCCGCCGACGUUAAUCAAAUGGCUCGGCGGGCAGCUUCCGGGAAACCAAAGAUUUUGGACUCCGGGGGGAGUAUGGUUGCAAAGCUGAAACUUAAAGGAA